CCUCUGCUAUGGUCUAUCCACAGCCCAGUAUUUCCCUAUGUCCAAUCCUGCUUGCCUCACGCCACACAGGUGUUGAUCCUGAGAACACACCACUGAUUCUCCCUGCAAACAAACCAUAGAAUCCCAGCAUCUCCUUCCUAGAGAACUCAACGGAAGACAAAUCUGAACAAACUGCGUUAUAGACAUCUGUAGCUGUGGAUGGAGAAGUAAAAGAUGACAGCAAAUCUAUUCUGACCAGUUGAUAUAACUGAAAAUUCAUGGGAGAUAGAAGUACCAUGGCUUUGAUGUCUACUCACUGAAAUGAGACUGCAGAGGCGCGAAGGGGCACAGGUAGAGGGGUGAGCGGAGAGGGGUGCCUGCGCUGCACUCACAACCAGCUCCACUUACGUUUUCAUCCUGUUCUUCAUCACUGUCGAAGUCACUCACGACAGGUUUGGCUUUUCCUCGAUUUGGCCUUUUCUUGCCUUUUCCUUUGUCCCGGCCUUUCUCAUCUUUUUUAUUGAGCUUGAUUUUUACUUUAACAGA